CUUAAUUGGAAAUCAAAUUUAGCAAAGAUUCAACACUUGAAAUUAAAUCCCUGGACAGUGAAAAUAAAAAUGACAGUAACACACUAUACGCUUCAGAAAAUAAAUCACUGUUGCACUGUUUGGAAAAUGAAAAUACAGAGAGUUGAUUGAAAGAGGAAGAGGCAAGAGCCUCUUCCAGGGGCGUGAGUACUCCUAAUUCCUACUCUAAAAUCUGAUUUAUCUCCCCCUUCUCUUCUCUGCCGCUGCCCUUUUAUAUUGCCAAUUCUCUGAACCCCUCCCUUGGACGUGCUGGAAUGGUGGAUGGUGUGAAUACUUGAGCUUGGAUGUGGCUGCUGGAUACCUCUCCAACAAAACCGUGACAGUACCUCCUGUGUUGAUCUCUCAUGUUGCACCUAAAGCCUCUUUUGUGUAUCAAAUUAAUUCCCAUAAGAGAAACAAAACCGGUGCUGGUGGUUGCUCUUUCAUCUAGCAAAGAUAAAUGACCGAACACUUCUUCCAGGACGUUUGUUGUUGCUUGUUUGGAUGCUUUAAGCUGGAUGCGUGAAGACUUGCUGCUGUGUGCUUGGCGUUGCUUUCUGCUUUUGCUGUCAACUGCUGGAUGUAUUGAAGCUUGCUGGAAUACUGUUGUACCGUGAAGGUGGCUGCACCAGCUCCUUGCUUCAUACUUUGCAGCUGCCAUGUCAACCGUGAAGCUUCUCCUUCAACGUUUCCCCAUUCUCCAGCAGCUUCCGUGAGCUUCCUCUCUUGCUGCUGUGUUGGAGAUAGCUGGAUGCUUCUACGUGCACAUGUUUCUCUUCUCCAAUGAAAAGAUAAUUUUCCAAGUAUGGAUGCACAAGCCGUGUGAGCUUCUAUCAAUUGCAAAAUUAAAAAGCAAAAGCUUGUGAAAGAGCAAGGAGAGUUAAGAGAAAAUCUGCACCGCUUCUUGCUAGAAUAAAAUAUUCUUUUGUAGCUAACAUCUUUUCUCUUCCAAAUACGUGAACUUCUCUAAUUCAACUUGGCCUCAUCCUUUAUGCUUUUAAAAUAAUAUUUCAGUGGCAGGGCCGUAUGCUUUUCAUGAAAAAUCAAAAUCUUAGCAUUUUGGAAUUCUCCAUGGACGUGAUUCUCCAAAGUGGUGGCCCUUCUCCAUGUGCUUAAUGCUUGACACAAUGAAUUGGAAACAAAACCGUGAGCUCCAUAUGUGGCCCAUUUGCCAAAAAUAAUUUUUCAAGCUUGUGCUUUGUGGUAAACUUUCCAACAUGGUGGUCCCCUCCUUUAAAUGCCAUAUGUAUGGUGCUGAAUUUGUUUCAAGCUAUUUCAAAAUGAAUGUGCCGUGACAUUUACUUAGAAAAUGUGGCAGCACAAUUGUUAUCGUCAGGCUAUAAAACCGUGACACCACUUCUCCAACACCAAACAAAAAUAUUCCACUCCUAAGUUUCCGCAUAAACACACAAAAUAAAUCAAUGCAAUACAGCUUCUUCCAAGUAAAUAACACAGUGU
rnacentral:sRNA from 1 species